rnacentral:rRNA from 1 species
AACGAACGCUGGCGGCAGGCCUAACACAUGCAAGUCGAACGAGAAGCCACCUUCGGGUGGUGGAAAGUGGCAGACGGGUGAGUAACACGUGGGAACGUGCCCUUUGGUUCGGAACAACUCUGGGAAACUGGAGCUAAUACCGGAUAAGCCCUACGGGGGAAAGAUUUAUCGCCGAAGGAUCGGCCCGCGUCUGAUUAGCUUGUUGGUGAGGUAAUGGCUCACCAAGGCGACGAUCAGUAGCUGGUCUGAGAGGAUGAUCAGCCACACUGGGACUGAGACACGGCCCAGACUCCUACGGGAGGCAGCAGUGGGGAAUAUUGGACAAUGGGCGCAAGCCUGAUCCAGCCAUGCCGCGUGAGUGAUGACGGCCUUAGGGUUGUAAAGCUCUUUCGCCAGGGACGAUAAUGACGGUACCUGGAUAAGAAGCCCCGGCUAACUUCGUGCCAGCCGCCGCGGUAA